rfam:Enterococcus devriesei strain DSM 22802 Scaffold23, whole genome shotgun sequence.
GGAGGGGUACUCAAGUCUGGUUUAAGAGGCCAACACUUUGUGUUUGGUAGGAGCUUUUUGCUCGCGUUGGUUCAAAUCCUUCUCCCUCCG